rnacentral:rRNA from 1 species
UUAAGUGACGAAGCGUAUACGGUGGAUGCCUUGGCAGUUAGAGGCGAUGAAGGACGUGUAAGUCUGCGAAAAGCUGUGGUGAGCCGACAAAAUGCAUUUGAGCCACAGAUGUCCGAAUGGGGAAACCCACCUGUUUACAGGUAUCGUUACAUGAAUACAUAGUGUAACGAGGCGAACGAGGGGAACUGAAACAUCUAAGUACCCUUAGGAAAAGAAAUCAAACGAGAUUCCCCUAGUAGCGGCGAGCGAACGGGGAACAGCCCUUAAGCUGUUUAGUGUGUAGUGGAAUCCUUUGGGAAGAGGAGCGAUACAGGGUGAUAGCCCCGUACACAAAGCGUGCUUUACAGUGAAAUCGAGUAGGUCGGGACACGUGUUAUCUUGACUGAAUAUGGGGGGACCAUCCUCCAAGGCUAAAUACUCCUAACUGACCGAUAGUGAACCAGUACCGUGAGGGAAAGGCGAAAAGAACCCCUGUGAGGGGAGUGAAAUAGAACCUGAAACCGUAUACGUACAAGCAGUGGGAGCCCUUCGGGGUGACUGCGUACCUUUUGUAUAAUGGGUCAGCGACUUAUAUUUAGUAGCAAGGUUAAGCGAAUAGCGGAGCCGUAGCGAAAGCGAGUGUUAACUGCGCGUUGAGUUGCUAGGUAUAGACCCGAAACCCGGUGAUCUAGCCAUGAGCAGGUUGAAGGUUGAGUAACAUCAACUGGAGGACCGAACCCACUGACGUUGAAAAGUCAGGGGAUGACUUGUGGCUGGGGGUGAAAGGCCAAUCAAACCGGGAGAUAGCUGGUUCUCCCCGAAAUCUAUUUAGGUAGAGCCUCGGACGAAUUCCAUUGGGGGUAGAGCACUGUUAAGGCUAGGGGGUCAUCCCGACUUACCAACCCUUUGCAAACUCCGAAUACCAAUGAGAACUAUCCGGGAGACACACGGCGGGUGCUAACGUCCGUCGUGGAGAGGGAAACAACCCAGACCGCCAGCUAAGGUCCCAAAAUAUUGCUAAGUGGGAAACGAUGUGGGAAGGCACAGACAGCUAGGAGGUUGGCUUAGAAGCAGCCACCCUUUAAAGAAAGCGUAAUAGCUCACUAGUCGAGUCGGCCUGCGCGGAAGAUGUAACGGGGCUAAGCAAUAUACCGAAGCUGCGGAUACGUGUUUACACGUAUGGUAGGGGAGCGUUGUGUAAGUGGAUGAAGGUGGAUUGAGAAGUCUGCUGGACAUAUCACAAGUGCGAAUGCUGACAUGAGUAACGAUAAUGGGAGUGAAAAACUCCCACGCCGGAAGACCAAGGUUUCCUGUCCCAUGCUAAUCAGGGCAGGGUAAGUCGGCCCCUAAGGCGAGGCAGAAAUGCGUAGUCGAUGGGAAACGGAUUAAUAUUUCCGUACUUAUAUAAUCAGUGAUGGAGGGACGGAGAAGGCUAAGCAAGCUUGGCGUUGGUUGUCCAAGUGAAAGCAAGUAGGCCGAGUGUUUAGGUAAAUCCGGACACUUAAAGCUGAGAUGCGAGACGAGCUACUACGGUGGUGAAGUUGUUGAUGCCCUGCUUCCAGGAAAAGCUUCUAAACUUAUGAUUAUAUGAACCGUACCCCAAACCGACACAGGUGGUCAGGUAGAGAAUACUAAGGCGCUUGAGAGAACUCGGGUGAAGGAACUCGGCAAAAUUGUACCGUAACUUCGGGAGAAGGUACGCCCUUGUUUGUGAUAGGACUUGCUCCUUGAGCAGAUGAGGGCCGCAGUGACCAGGUGGCUGGGACUGUUUAUUAAAAACACAGCACUCUGCUAACUCGCAAGAGGACGUAUAGGGUGUGACACCUGCCCGGUGCCGGAAGGUUAAUUGAUGGGGUUAUCUUCGGAGAAGCUCUUGAUCGAAGCCCCGGUAAACGGCGGCCGUAACAAUAACGGUCCUAAGGUAGCGAAAUUCCUUGUCGGGUAAGUUCCGACCUGCACGAAUGGUGUAACGAUCUGGGCACUGUCUCAGCCAUGAGCUCGGUGAAAUUGUAGUCUCGGUGAAGAUGCCGAGUACCCGCAACGGGACGAAAAGACCCCGUGCACCUUUACUAUAGCUUAGUAUUGACUUCGGAUAAGUGAUGUGUAGGAUAGGUGGGAGACUUUGAAGCUGUGUCGCCAGGCAUGGUGGAGUCGUCCUUGAAAUACCACCCUUCGCUUAUUUGGAGCCUAACCCCGAGAGGGGAACAGUGCUUGGUGGGUAGUUUGACUGGGGUGGUCGCCUCCAAAAGAGUAACGGAGGCUUCUAAAGGUACCCUCAGCACGCUUGGUAACCGUGCGUAGAGUGCAAUGGCAUAAGGGUGCUUGACUGUGAGACUUACAAG